GGGAAGGGCGGCGUGCUAUACAUGCAGUCGAACGAGUUCUCGUUGAUGAUCGGUGCUUGCACCGAGAUUCAACAUGGAACGAGUGGCGGACGGGUGAGUAACACGUGGGUAACCUGCCCUUAAGUGGGGGAUAACAUUUGGAAACAGAUGCUAAUACCGCAUAGAUCCAAGAACCGCAUGGUUCUUGGCUGAAAGAUGGCGUAAGCUAUCGCUUUUGGAUGGACCCGCGGCGUAUUAGCUAGUUGGUGAGGUAAUGGCUCACCAAGGCGAUGAUACGUAGCCGAACUGAGAGGUUGAUCGGCCACAUUGGGACUGAGACACGGCCCAAACUCCUACGGGAGGCAGCAGUAGGGAAUCUUCCACAAUGGACGCAAGUCUGAUGGAGCAACGCCGCGUGAGUGAAGAAGGCUUUCGGGUCGUAAAACUCUGUUGUUGGAGAAGAAUGGUCGGCAGAGUAACUGUUGUCGGCGUGACGGUAUCCAACCAGAAAGCCACGGCUAACUACGUGCCAGCAGCCGCGGUAAUACGUAGGUGGCAAGCGUUAUCCGGAUUUAUUGGGCGUAAAGCGAGCGCAGGCGGUUUUUUAAGUCUGAUGUGAAAGCCCUCGGCUUAACCGAGGAAGCGCAUCGGAAACUGGGAAACUUGAGUGCAGAAGAGGACAGUGGAACUCCAUGUGUAGCGGUGAAAUGCGUAGAUAUAUGGAAGAACACCAGUGGCGAAGGCGGCUGUCUGGUCUGUAACUGACGCUGAGGCUCGAAAGCAUGGGUAGCGAACAGGAUUAGAUACCCUGGUAGUCCAUGCCGUAAACGAUGAAUGCUAGGUGUUGGAGGGUUUCCGCCCUUCAGUGCCGCAGCUAACGCAUUAAGCAUUCCGCCUGGGGAGUACGACCGCAAGGUUGAAACUCAAAGGAAUUGACGGGGGCCCGCACAAGCGGUGGAGCAUGUGGUUUAAUUCGAAGCAACGCGAAGAACCUUACCAGGUCUUGACAUCUUUUGAUCACCUGAGAGAUCAGGUUUCCCCUUCGGGGGCAAAAUGACAGGUGGUGCAUGGUUGUCGUCAGCUCGUGUCGUGAGAUGUUGGGUUAAGUCCCGCAACGAGCGCAACCCUUAUGACUAGUUGCCAGCAUUUAGUUGGGCACUCUAGUAAGACUGCCGGUGACAAACCGGAGGAAGGUGGGGAUGACGUCAAAUCAUCAUGCCCCUUAUGACCUGGGCUACACACGUGCUACAAUGGAUGGUACAACGAGUUGCGAGACCGCGAGGUCAAGCUAAUCUCUUAAAGCCAUUCUCAGUUCGGACUGUAGGCUGCAACUCGCCUACACGAAGUCGGAAUCGCUAGUAAUCGCGGAUCAGCACGCCGCGGUGAAUACGUUCCCGGGCCUUGUACACACCGCCCGUCACACCAUGAGAGUUUGUAACACCCGAAGCCGGUGGCGUAACCCUUUUAGGGAGCGAGCCGUCUAAGGUGACAAGGUGG
rnacentral:rRNA from 2 species